ACAAAGGGCAGUGCUGUCCCCAGCCUAUUGGGGGCCCUAAGCAGAAUUUGAUUUUGGGGGCCCCCUCCCACCACAUGGAGUCACCUGUGCUUGACGAUUGAUGACACAAAUGUCACGCUAAUAUAAUGUUGCAUUAUAAAUUAAUACAGUGAGGUUAUGAAUUAAUACAGUGACGGAUUAUGAACUGCUGUCCCACUGGACACAAAGGCAUAAGGACCCUA